UACGUAGGGUGCAAGCGUUGUCCGGAAUUAUUGGGCGUAAAGAGCUCGUAGGCGGUUUGUUGCGUCGGCUGUGAAAUCCCGAGGCUCAACCUCGGGUCUGCAGUCGAUACGAGCAAACUAGAGUGUUGCAGGGGAGACUGGAAUUCCUGGUGUAGCGGUGAAAUGCGCAGAUAUCAGGAGGAACACCGGUGGCGAAGGCGGGUCUCUGGGCCGAUACUGACGCUGGAGGAGCGAAAGCGUGGGGAGCGA
rnacentral:rRNA from 1 species